GUGACGGUUUCGUUUCUCUCUAUACACACCAAACGCUCCAUCUUCACGUGUCGCUCUCUGGCUUUUUCUGUCUUCUGCUUCUUCUUCUUCUUCUCCUCCUCAUUGCUUAAGCUCUGUUUGUUUCGGCAAAACUUCUUACUUGCAUCCCCGUGCUUUUUAUCUUUGAGAGGUUGGUGCUGGUAUUUGAUUUCAGUGUAUAAAUACAUACACACAUAUAAGUAUUGCAAGAGAGAUUGAGAGGUUUAAGGAAGGGUGAGAAAUGGAGGAAAAGAAGCAGGUGGCCUCGUCUUCCUCCUUCACUUCUGAACUUUUUGGCUCCAAGGAUUCUACAUCUUCUACUGGGAUUUUUGGCUCUAUAUUUGCACCUCCCUCUAAGGUGUUGGGGAGAGGUUUGCUGCGAUCUGAAGUGUUAGGAAAGAAGCAAGGUUCUGUUAAUGAAGCUUGGAACACCAAACCUGGAACUCCAGAUGACAGUUCUAAAAGCAAUCAUGGUGAAGGUCAGAACGUGCCAAGUAGAGAUACAAAUUCCUUCUAUCAGGAGCAAAGAGUACAGCCAUGCCACCUCAGUUCAUCUAUCUAUUAUGGUGGUCAAGACAUUUAUCAUCAUCCCCAGAACAGCCAGAACUCUAAUAUGACCUCAAUGUUCAAGAAAGAUGGGACAGAAGACGACUCUGGGAGUGCUUCAAGAGGAAACUGGUGGCAGGGGUCUCUCUAUUAUUAAGAUCUCACCUGCCAUGACAUAUACUCAACUAGGUAUUUUUUUCUUCAGAGAUUUUGAAAAAGGUAAAUAGGCAACAUAUAGGGUAGCACCUCAGUCAUAUCUUUUUCUUAUAUGAAGAAAUCAAGCAUCAGGCGGAUCAUAGCAGAUAGCAGUUUGUUUUCCUAAAGCUAAAGAUAUACUAGUAUGAAAAAUUAACAUGCCUGUGUUUUGUAAUAUCUGAGACGUUUUGCUUCAGAGCUUAUAAGGAUGGAUAAAUUCUCUGCACUCCUCUUCUCACCCUUCUCUUGCUUGUUCUAUAAGUAAGUAUUACUUGAGAUUUUGGAUAGUUUAGUUGUGGUAACUUCUUAUACAUACACCUUCAUAGUGAACUUAACUGUUCCUCUCCUCAGUUUCUUAUAUAGGAGGAACAUCCAUUUUCCAGUAUGUCAUUCAAUAAGUUUCUUCUUAUUGCAAUAAUCUUUUUAGCUCUUAUAUAUCAGAAAGAUAUUUUCCUUAACUAGAGGUCUCAAGUUUAAGCCAGAAUACAAAGGACCUUUAAAUCUUGAGAGGUAAUGCAUUACCCCUUGUGCAGUGGAAAGAUUUAGCUGGAAUUGCAUCAAAUUAACAAUUAUACUCUUGCAUAUAGUUAAUAAUUGAUUCAUAUUUGGUGCAUUUACGCUCUUCCACGUACCCUUAGUACUCAUCCAUUGAUUUGAUGCAAUUUUUAUAGCCUUAGCCAUCAUGUGAUGUGAGUGGUCAAACAUUCUGGUCAGUAAGAUAUUCAUCCAUGAAAGCUCCCAAUCUUCUUUUCACAAGGUCUGCCUCAUUUCAGGGCCACCCAUCAGGAACUGGUUAGGACUGGACAAGAACUUGACAAAGUGGGGUGUGGUCCAGUUAUGUAUCUUGCUACGUGUCACACUUUGUUUCGUCUUCAAACCGUAAUGUCAACUUCUCAUCCUAGCUUAACAUCAAAUGUCUUUGCAUAUAUUCCCUAUUCGAAAAUGCGACCCACAGAUUUUAUUCA